rnacentral:rRNA from 1 species
GAACCUACGGGGGGCAGCAGUGGGGAAUAUUGCACAAUGGGGGAAACCCUGAUGCAGCAACGCCGCGUGAGUGAAGAAGUAUUUCGGUAUGUAAAGCUCUAUCAGCAGGGAAGAAGAAAGACGGUACCUGACUAAGAAGCCCCGGCUAACUACGUGCCAGCAGCCGCGGUAAUACGUAGGGGGCAAGCGUUAUCCGGAUUUACUGGGUAUAAAGGGAGCGUAGACGGCAUAGCAAGUCUGAAGUGAAAGCCCGUGGCUCAACCGCGGAACUGCUUUGGAAACUGUUAAGCUG